GGCCGAGCCCCGGGCCACAUCAGCCAGAGCCUCAUGGCCUGGAGUGAUUUCCAUCCUGGCCUGCAGACUCAUCACUGUCACCUGUGACAAGGAUGGGCACGGAGCCAAGGAUCCCUCAGGUGAUGAGGAAGGGCGGCAGCCAGCUGUGCUCAGUGGCUGGAGGAGCUGAUUGAGAUCGAACUCAGACUGGCCUUGUCUGCAGUGCAACCUUCCAGCCACCUGGCACCCAGCUCUGUGACCCCGAGCAAGCAGCUCUCCAGCCCUUGCCAGGCCCCCAUCAGUUUCUCCAUUUACGACAAAAAGCACAAAAGGGACUUUACUCAAAAUUGAGGUCUACCAGCAUGGGCAUCUGAGUGGGUAGAGAUGCACUACCCUUGAAAAUACCGCCUUUGUCAGAAAUUUCAUUCCUGUUCUGCAAGAUGGGAGAUGAUGCGAAGUUGGCCUCAGAUGUUCUCCUGCAAGUACAAGUUGAGACCAGACAAAGAGGACAAACUGGCUGCACCUGAAUAACUCAAAGAUUGGACUAUGAACAUCCACAGCAUACACAGGUGUGGGGAACUACCAGCCCUGCCUCCAGCAAGAGUGAGGCCCACCACCUCCUUCCAAGGACACCACCAGUCCUGGGUGCCACAUCUCCCCAGGAGCUCGUUCCAGGGAGGCACACAAUUCCUACAAGCAGCACUUGGCACUGUGGAGCUGACUAGGUCCUGGUCCUGGACAUCAUAAACUUCACACCUUUAUUCAUAUGUUGGGUGGUGUCUUCAGAGAGAGUGAAGAUUUUCAUGGAUAAAAGCCAUUCAGUCUACAGCCCCUGACCAACCUGAACACAAGCUCCACCGCUGGCCUCCUCUCUGGCACCUCUCCCAUGGCUCCUCCUGUCUUCUCCCAGGCUGGGGCACUGCAGGGCUAAAACACAACAUAACCCACAGCUGUCCUGCGGCUGUAACUAUGGGGACAGGGGCACCUCUCUCUGCUGGGUCACCUUCCCUGACAGACUAGGCCAGCCCCACCCUGCACAGCCGACCCUCAGAGAGGUUCAGAGAGGAAAAAUUAAAUUCAAAAUCUUUCACCGAAAAUGUAAUUUCCACCUGGCCAUGUAGUGAAAU
ensembl:lncRNA